rnacentral:ncRNA from 1 species
GGCUCUGGAGAAUCUCAUUGAGUUGAGUGCCGAAGGUGCAAGGCGGCAAUGCCGCCGAAUCUCUCAGGCAAAAGGACAGAGCGG